rnacentral:rRNA from 1 species
GAAAAGAACUUUGAAAAGAGAGUUAAACAGUACGUGAAAUUGUUGAAAGGGAAACGAUUAAAGUCAGUCGUACGGACGGGGAAUCAGCCUUUCGAGCGUGGAUACGCGGGAUUCGGAGAGCCCUUCGACCUCGCGUAUUUGAGUUCUUUUGGUGUACUUUCCCGUGACGUAGGUCAGCGUCGGUUUCGCGCGUCGUGAAAGGGCUCGGGUAAGGUGACUCUCUUCGGGGAGUGUUAUAGACCUGAGCAGAUGCGCUGCGCGGGACUGAGGAUUGCAGCGGACACCCCUCGGGGCGCGGCGACCGAUCCCUGCUUCAUCACCCUUGUCCGAUAGCGUGCUAACGGGCCGGGGAGCGGUGGGUGCACCGGGUUGGCAAGCCGGCGGUUUCGCUAAGGACGCU